rnacentral:rRNA from 1 species
GAUGAACGCUGGCGGCGUGCCUAAUACAUGCAAGUCGAGCGAACAGACGAGGUGCUUGCUCCUCUGACGUUAGCGGCGGACGGGUUAGUAACUCGUGUAUCACCUACCUAUAAGACUUGUAUACUUUUGUGUAACCGUAUCUAAUUCCGGAUAAUAUAUUGAACCGCAUUGUUCAAUAGUGAAAUUCGGUUUUUCUUUCACUUAUAGAUGGCUCCGCGCCGCAUGAGCUAGUUGUUAAGGUAACGGCUUACCAAGGCAACGAUGCGUAGCCGACCUGAAGGGGUGAUCGGGCAAAAGGGAACAGAGAAACGGUCAAGACUCCUAAGGGAGGAAGCAGUAGGGAAUCUUACGAAAUGGGCGAGAGGCUGACGGAGCAAAGCCGCGUGAGUGAUGAAGGUCUUCGGAUCGGAAAAAUCUGUUAUUAGGGAAGAACAAAUGUGUAAGUAACUAUGCAGGUCUUGACGGUACCUAAUCAGAAAGCCACGGCUAACUACGUG